CUGACUCUAGAAUGAACAGUAUUAACCCCACUGGUUUGGCGCAUGAUGAAAUGAAGGACAGAUCCAUUGUGUUUUCAGUAAAGGACAGGAUGGGAUUCCAGAAAAGUGAUGAGGAACUAAUUUAAGGAAACAUGGCUUCAUCGCAGGAAACAGCAAGAAUCCCAAAUGCAGGUGGAAAAUUUUACUGGGCACCGAUGACUCAGAAGAGUUCAUUGUGGUUAAUAGAAGUAAAGCCAGAAGUCACCAUAGAUCAUCUACUGACCACAUGGGAAAAGCUGAAAUAAAAUUGAUA
rnacentral:lncRNA from 1 species